UACGUAGGGUGCGAGCGUUGUCCGGAAUUAUUGGGCGUAAAGAGCUCGUAGGCGGUGUGUCGCGUCGGCCGUGAAAACCUGGGGCUCAACUCUGGGCGUGCGGUCGAUACGGGCAUCACUUGAGUUCGGCAGGGGAGACUGGAAUUCCUGGUGUAGCGGUGAAAUGCGCAGAUAUCAGGAGGAACACCGGUGGCGAAAGGCGGGGUCUCUGGG
rnacentral:rRNA from 1 species